UGCGCAGGCGGCGUCGUUAGUUAGGUGUGAAAUCCCCGGGCUCAACCCGGGAACUGCACUUGAUACUGCGAUGCUAGAGUUCGGAAGAGGGUAGUGGAAUUCCCAGUGUAGAGGUGAAAUUCGUAGAUAUUGGGAAGAACACCAGUGGCGAAGGCGGCUACCUGGUCCGAUACUGACGCUGAGGCACGAAAGCGUGGGGAGCAAACAGGAUUAGAUACCCUGGUAGUCC
rnacentral:rRNA from 1 species